rnacentral:rRNA from 1 species
UGGGGAAUAUUGCACAAUGGGCGCAAGCCUGAUGCAGCCAUGCCGCGUGUGUGAAGAAGGCCUUCGGGUUGUAAAGUACUUUCAGUCGGGAGGAAGGUGUCAAGGUUAAUAACCUUGGCAAUUGACGUUACCGACAGAAGAAGCACCGGCUAACUCCGUGCCAGCAGCCGCGGUAAUACGGAGGGUGCAAGCGUUAAUCGGAAUUACUGGGCGUAAAGCGCACGCAGGCGGUUGAUUGAGUCAGAUGUGAAAUCCCCGGGCUUAACCCGGGAAUUGCAUCUGAUACUGGUCAGCUAGAGUCUUGUAGAGGAGGGUAGAAUUCCAUGUGUAGCGGUGAAAUGCGUAGAGAUGUGGAGGAAUACCGGUGGCGAAGGCGGCCCCCUGGACAAAGACUGACGCUCAGGUGCGAAAGCGUGGGGAGCAAACAGG